rnacentral:piRNA from 1 species
UUGUACAUUGCUACGUGAGAG